rnacentral:rRNA from 1 species
CAAGGUCUCCGUAGGUGAACCUGCGGAGGGAUCAUUACACAAUAAAAUACGAAGGCCGUUCGCGGCUGGACUAUUUAUUACCCUUGUCUUUUGCGCACUUGUUGUUUCCUGGGCGGGUUCGCUCGCCACCAGGACCACAAUAUAAACCUUUUUUAUGCAGUUGCAAUCAGCGUCAGUAUAACAAAUGUAAAUCAUUUACAACUUUCAACAACGGAUCUCUUGGUUCUGGCAUCGAUGAAGAACGCAGCGAAAUGCGAUACGUAGUGUGAAUUGCAGAAUUCAGUGAAUCAUCGAAUCUUUGAACGCACAUUGCGCCCUUUGGUAUUCCAAAGGGCAUGCCUGUUCGAGCGUCAUUUGUACCCUCAAGCUUUGCUUGGUGUUGGGCGUUUUUGUCUUUGGCCCGCCAAAGACUCGCCUUAAAAUGAUUGGCAGCCGGCCUACUGGUUUCGCAGCGCAGCACAUUUUUGCGCUUGCAAUCAGCAAAAGAGGACGGCAAUCCAUCAAGACUCCUUCUCACGUUUGACCUCGGAUCAGGUAGGGAUACCCGCUGAACUUAAGC